rnacentral:misc_RNA from 1 species
AUGGGUGCUGAGGCUAUGAUGAUGGAAGCCCUUGAGAAAGUUGAGAAGGAGAUUAAGAAGCCACUUCUGAGGAGUGACAAGAAGAAUAUGGGUCUCCUCUUGGCAGAGUUUGAGAAGAUAAACAAAAAGCUUGGAAUCCGCAAGGAGGAUCUUCCCAAGAUUGAGGAAGAGCUUGAAUUGGAAAUUGCCAAAAGUGAGCUGACGGAGCUUAAGAAGGAAUGUGUUGAAGCAAUGGAGGUUCAACUAAAGA